rnacentral:lncRNA from 10 species
UCAGAGAGAGGAAGUAAAUUGCUCAGGUUCACUCAGCUAGGAAGCAACAGAUCAGGAUUCGAGCCCAGUCCAAAAUCAUAAUUCACUCCCUUGAAAAGCCAAAAGAGAGAGAGAACAGGGCCAGACGGGGUGGCGUCAGGAGGGUUGUGGGUCCCCUGGCUGCUGUGCAGAGCUUACAUCGGGCGCUCAAAGGAGCCCGAGCCAACCACUGCCCAAGAGAUUCUACCAAGAUGAAAAUGGUUCCUCCCCAGCCACAGUUCCAUCACCUGCGUGAUGGGACGAGAGACUGGAUCAGGUGUUCUCCACAGCCGGUUAUGAAGUGAUCCCAGGCCUGGGUCUCCUGAUGAGUCCAUCUGACUUCCACUCUCCAGCACCCCCAGGGUUUACUGCUUCCAUCCUGCUGACAGCCAUAUGCUCUUCUCUGGCUGAUUCAAGACAAAAGAAGAUAGGAUGACAAAGCAGAAGACCAGAGAGAAAGAGAUUUGAAGAUGCUACCCUGCUGGCUUUGGAGAUGGAAGCAAGGGCCAUGAGCCAAGAGGUGUAUGUGGCUUUUGGAAGCAGGUAAAGGCAAGGAUAGCCCCUGGAGCCUCCAGAAGGAGCCAGCCCUGCUGACGCCUUGACUUUAGCCUAGUGAAACUGAUUGCUGACUUCUGGCCUCCAGAAUGAUAAGAGAAUACAGUUGUGUUUUCUUGUUUGUUUGUUUUGAGACAGGGUCUUGCUCUGUCACCCAGACUGGAGUGAGUGGGUCCAUUUUGGCUCCCUGAAGCCACUACCUCCCAGGCUCAAGUGAUCCUCGCACCUUAGCCUCUCGAAUAGCUGGGACCACAGGUGCACACCACCACACCCGGCUAAUUUUUUUUUAUAGAUGGGGUCUCCCUAUGGUGCCAGGGCUGGUCUCAAACUCCUGAGCUCAAAGGAUCCUUCUGCCUUGCCUCCUAAAGUGCUGGGAUUACAGGUGUAAAGCCACCUCCACAUCUGACUCAGUUGUGUCCUUUUUUUUUUUUUUUUUUUUGUCAAGAUAGAGUCUUGCUCUGUCACCCAGGCUAGAGUGCAGUGGCGUGAUCUCAGCUUACUGCAACCUCCGCCUCCUGGGUUCAAGUGAUUCUUGUGCCUCAGCCUCCUGAGUAGCUGGGACUACAGGUGCACACCACCAUGCCCAGCUAAUUUUUCUAUUUUUUAGUAUUUCACUAUGUUGGCCAGGCUGGUCUCAAACUCCUGGCCUCAAGUGAUCCACCUGCCUUGGCCUCCCAAAGUGAUGGGAUUAUAGGUGUUGAAGCCACCACGCCUGGCCUAGUUGUGUUCUUUUAUGUCAUGAAAUUUGUGGUAAUUUUUUUUAUUAAAGUAGCCACAGCAAAUUAACACAACCACGGAGCCAGUCCCCACAGCCUGGUCAGGUGCAGCAUGAUUCCAGACAACAGCAAUGAGGAAGCCAGCCUUGUGGAGCUGAUGCCUGGCAGAGAACAUCACUAAGCAACAGGCAUCCUGAGUGCUUGGGUUUGAGGCCCAGCCUUGCUAUCUCCCAGCUGUGUGAUUUGGACCAAGUAACUCGAUCUCACCUCACCUGCCUGAUGAGAUAACAGGAUUUUGUGAGGUUUAUAUGUAUCUUUGGCUCUUGGAACAAUGUCUGGCACAGAGUAAUUUACAAGGGCUCAGUAAAUCUGUCAUUUAUGGCCUCCCCAUGUCAGCAGCUAGGUGGCUGGCCACAGCCCUCGUGGUGGAGUGAGGCUGGGAUCUGGGGCUGGCCAAUGAGAGGCCCAAGUCUCCUUGACUGGGGGAUCAGCCAUGGUCACCAGAACCAACUCACAUCAGCCCUGGACUUUGGCUGGAAGUUCUGGGAAAGAGGUGCUCUCUCCCUGUUGGGAUCUUGUUGGGAUUCUCGAGGAGCUCGGCCUGGAGAAGAUGGCGGGCAUUUUUGUCACCACGAGGGGACAGCCUGCCUGAGAAGGAAGCCAACAGGAAGGAAGGUGGAGACCAGGAUGGAGCAGGGCAGCUCUUGAUGACGUCACCAAGGCCCUAGAUCCAGACUUGCCUGAACCACCCCUUGGACUGUCUGGUUCCAGGAACCAAUCACUACCCCUUUUUGCUUUAGGAGUUUUAUCUGGGUUUCUGCCACUCACAACCAGGAGAGUCCUGACUGAUAGACAGGGACUCAAUGAACACAUGUUGAUUGAGUGACUGAGUGAGCAUUCAGGGCUCUGGCACUGUCCUGAGCCCAGUAAAUUUUGGGAUGAUUGUGUGGUAAGUGUCUCGCCUUCCUGUAGGACCAUAGGGACUUGCAGGGGAUUCUUCAUUUGACUUGGGAAGAUGCCUUCUUCGUCCUCCCUGCUUGCAGGGCUUGGCAUCGAAGUCUAGGUUCCUUCAAGAGAAGGCGGAGGUACUGUGCACCUGGCCCAGGAGGCCAAAUCCCUGUUUUCUUCUCUCUGACCCAAAUUUCCCCAAACAGCGAGGUCUCAGCUCCACUUGGAGAGGGGAGAUGGGAAAGAGGCUGGCUGCUAGAGUCCAAAGCAACAGCCCAGGAAAUAAGGGCCUUUAUUAGUCCCAUUUUACAGAUGAAGACACUGAGGCCAGAGAGCCGAAGUUAUCUGUCUUCAAACCCAGGGCCCACCAAACAGAACUCAACUCUAUCCUUGCUUCCAAACCACUGCUUCCUCCUCCUUAGCCAUUUUCCAUCUGGUGUUGGCGUUUUUUUUCCUGGCUUUCUUGCCCUGUCAUAUUUGGAUACUCUGUUUUUGUUUGUUUGUUUGUUUUUUGUUUUUUGAGAUAGAGUGUCGCUCUGUCGCCCAGGCUGGAGUGCAGUGGCGCAAUCUGGGUUCACUGCAACCUCCGCCUCCCGGGUUCAAGUGAUUCUCCUGCUUCAGCCUCCCGAGUAGCUGGGAUUACAGGCGCCACCACGCCCAGCUAAUUUUUGUAUUUUUAGUAGAGACGGGUUUCACCAUAUUGGCCAGGCUGGUCUCGAACUCCUGACCCCAGGCAAUCCCCCCGCCUCAGCCUCCCAAAGUGCUGGGAUUACAGGCGUGAGCCACGGCGCCUGGCUGGAUACUCUGAUUUCUUAUAAUUACUCACUCCUUGUUCUUAGGUCAACGAGAAGAAUGCCUGGGAGUUGGCUGGACCUGCUUUGUGUCUCUGCUUUAUGCUGUACAAGCUGCAUGUCCUUGGGCUAACGUCUUCACCUCUCUGGGCCUUGGUUCUUUCAACCAUGGUUGUGGAGAUGGCAAAACCUGAUCUUAGCCUUUUUUGAGGACUAAGUGAGUUAAUACAUGUAAAAUACUUAAAGCAGUAAGCCCCUUUUUGUUGUUGUUUGUUUGUUUCUUGAGAUGAAAUCUCGCUCUGUCACCCAGGCUGGAGUGCAGUGGUGCGAUCUCGGCUCACUGUAACCUCCGCCUCCCAGGUUCUAGCGAUUCUACUGCCUCAGCCUCCCAAGUAGGCCCUUUUGAAGCACUCAGCAAAUGGUGGCUUUUAUUAUUAUCUGAAACAUUAAUUUCCUUAAGAAAUUAUACUGUGUAGUAUCUCUUGGAAUUAAAUAGGGAGAAAUGUCCCCAAAAUCAUUAAAUAAAUAACACAACUUAGAAAACUGCAGUUUCACCAACCUAAAUUCUCAUGUUUUGCUUUGAAAUGUUGAAUACUGUUUUUUUUGUUUUUUUUUUAAGGCAGAAUUUCACUCUUACUGCCCAGCUUGGAGGGCAACGGCGCCAUCUUGGCUCACUGCAACCUCUGCCUCCCAGGUUCAAGUGAUUCUCCUGCUUCAGCCUCUCGAGUACUUGUGAUUACAGGCAUGCGCCACCACGCCCGGCUAAUUUUGUAUGUUUUUUUAGUACAGACGGGAUUUCACCAUGUUAGUCAGGCUGGUCUCAAACUCCUGACCUCAGGUGAUCCACCCACCUUGGCCUCCCAAAGUACUGGGAUUACAGGUGUGAGCCACUGCUCCCAGACAGAAACAUUAAAGUCUUUACUCACAUAGGCAGAAGAGCUAGGGCAGAGGUGAGAGGUUUGGGGCAAAUAUUUCCUGCUUCUCACCCUGGUGGACAUACCAAGUCAACCUUCGCUCUGAGAACACCUAGACAUGGCCUAGAAAGAUGAGCUGAAAUUUGAAGUUGCCCUCAGGCUUUGAGGUGGGACUCUAAUAACCAUGAUUAAUGCAUUCAGGGAAUAACAUGACAAGAAUGUCAGCAGAAAACUAGGAACUAUAAAAAAGAAUCAUAUGGAAAUUCCAGAACUGAAAAAUAUGAUACUGAAAUUAAGAUUUGCAGUUAUUAAAAUCACAGACUGUGAGCCACACUGCCCAGGUUUAAGUCCAGGCUCCAGUCUCUGCCAUGUACAAUGCCACACCUGUUUCUUUCUUUCUGUUUUUUUUUUUAAUCGAUGUAAAACUCACAUAACACAAUAAAUUAUUUUGAAAUGUACAAUUUGGCCAGGCGCGGUGGCUGUCUCUACUAAAAGUACAAAAAAUACAAAAAGUACAAAAAUUAGCCAGGUGUAGUGGCAGGUGCCUGUAAUCCCAACUACUCAGGAAGCUGGGGCAGGAGAAUCACUUGAACCCGGGAAGCAGAGGUUGCAGUGAGCUGAGAUCGUGACACUGCACUCCAGCCUGGGCGACAAGAGCAAGACUCUGUCUCAAAAAAAAAAAAAAAAAAUAUGGCUGCGUGAGGUGGCUCACGCCUGUAAUCCCAGCACUUUGGGAGGCCAAGGCAGGCGGAUCACAAUGUCAGGAGUUGGAGACCAGCCUGAUCAACACGGUGAAACCCCAUCUCUACUAAAAAUACAAAAAUUAGCCAGGCGUGGUGGCGCACGCCUGUAAUCCCAGCUACUCGGGAAGCUGAGGCAGGAGAAUUGCUUGAACUAAGGAGGCAGAAGUUGCAGUGAGUUGAGAUUGCGCCACUGUACUCCAGCCUAUUUAUUAAAAAAAUAAUAAUAAAAUAAAAUAAACACAUAAUAUGUGACUUUUUUUGUUUGGCUUCUUUCACUUAGCAUGUUUUUCAGGUUCAUCCAUGUUGUAGCAUGUAUCAGUAUUUCAUUCCUUUUUGUGGCUGAAUAAUAUUUCAUUGUAUAGCUAUACCAUGUUUUGUUUAUCCAUUCAUCCAUUGAUGAACAUCUGGGUCGUUUCUGUGUUUUGGCUAGUAUGAAUAAUGUUGCUAUAAACAUUCGUGUACAAGUUUCUGUGUGUGCAUACAUUUUCAUUUCUUGGGUACAUACCUGGGUGUGGAGUAAGUCUUUGUUCCUUUUU